rnacentral:misc_RNA from 1 species
AGAUGCUCAUUCCAUCUCUUAUGUUCGCCUUAGUGCCUCAUAAACUCAGGAAUGAUGCAGAGCCGUUUACGGUGCUUAUCGUCCACAGACAGAUGUCGCUUACGCCUCAUCAAACACCAUGGACAUAACGUUGAGUGAAGCACCCAUUU